rnacentral:rRNA from 1 species
AACGAACGCUGGCGGCAUGCCUAACACAUGCAAGUCGAACGAGACCUUCGGGUCUAGUGGCGCACGGGUGCGUAACGCGUGGGAACCUGCCCUUAGGUUCGGAAUAACUCCCCGAAAGGGGUGCUAAUACCGGAUAAUGUCUUCGGACCAAAGAUUUAUCGCCUUUGGAUGGGCCCGCGUUGGAUUAGCUAGUUGGUAGGGUAAAAGCCUACCAAGGCGACGAUCCAUAGCUGGUCUGAGAGGAUGAUCAGCCACACUGGGACUGAGACACGGCCCAGACUCCUACGGGAGGCAGCAGUGGGGAAUAUUGGACAGUGGGCGGAAGCCUGAUCCAGCAAUGCCGCGUGAGUGAUGAAGGCCUUAGGGUUGUAAAGCUCUUUUACCCGGGAUGAUAAUGACAGUACCGAGAGAAUAAGCCCCGGCUAACUCCGUG